rnacentral:tRNA from 1 species
CCUGGUGGCUCAGAUGGUAAAGCGUCUACCUACAAUGUGGGAGACCCAGGUUCAAUCCCUGGGUCAGGA